rnacentral:rRNA from 1 species
AGUAACGGCGAGUGAAGCGGCAACAGCUCAAAUUUGAAAUCUGGCCCCGGGUCCGAGUUGUAAUUUGUAGAGGAUGCUUUUGGUGAGGUACCUUCCGAGUUCCCUGGAACGGGACGCCAUAGAGGGUGAGAGCCCCGUCUGGUCGGAUACCGAUCCUCUGUAAAGCUCCUUCGACGAGUCGAGUAGUUUGGGAAUGCUGCUCUAAAUGGGAGGUAUAUGUCUUCUAAAGCUAAAUAUAGGCCAGAGACCGAUAGCGCACAAGUAGAGUGAUCGAAAGAUGAAAAGCACUUUGAAAAGAGGGUUAAACAGUACGUGAAAUUGUUGAAAGGGAAGCGCUUGUGACCAGACUUGGGCCCGGUUAAUCAUCCAGCGUUCUCGCUGGUGCACUUGGCCGGCCCAGGCCAGCAUCAGUUCGGCGUGGGGGAUAAAGGCGGCGGGAAUGUGGCUCCUCCGGGAGUGUUAUAGCCCACCGUGUAAUACCCUGUGCUGGACUGAGGUUCGCGCAUUCGCAAGGAUGCUGGCGUAAUGGUCAUUAGCGACCCGUCUUGAAACACGGACCAAGGAGUCGUCCUCGUAUGCGAGUGUUCGGGUGUUAAACCCCUACGCGUAAUGAAAGUGAACGCAGGUGAGAGCUUCGGCGCAUCAUCGACCGAUCCUGAUGUUCUCGGAUGGAUUUGAGUAAGAGCAUACGGGGCCGGACCCGAAAGAAGGUGAACUAUGCCUGUAUAGGGUGAAGCCAGAGGAAACUCUGGUGGAGGCUCGCAGCGGUUCUGACGUGCAAAUCGAUCGUCAAAUAUGGCAUGGGGCGAAAGACUAAUCGAACCUUCUAGUAGCU